UGUGGAUUCACUUCUCAUUUCUCACAUUCAAGUGAAUCAAGCACAGAAACAAAGACGCCGCACAUAUCGUGCCCAUGGAAGAAUAAACCCCUACAUGUCUUCCCCCUGCCAUAUUGAGUUGAUCUUGUCCGAGAAGGAAGAGUCUGUCAAAAAGGAGCCUGAAUCACAGUUGGCCACCAGCAAAUCUAGGAAGGCUUAAGCUUUAUGUAAUGGUGCUUUCAUUGGCAAUGGCUUUCGUGGAUUCUA